AAAAGUGAGCAAAGUAUUUAACUUGAGAAUUUUAUAUUAUCUACCUAAAUGUGAUUUCUUCUAUUAAAACUACCAGUAUGAAAAAUUAUGUUUCAAAUUAUAGUAAAUUACAUAGGCUAAACUUUAAAAAUGUAAUCAGUGAUGUCAACCUUUAUUAAUGGAGGUAUCAGUUGAGGAAUUUCCAACCAGAAUAUUUAUGCUAAAUGCACUUGCUAAAAUGUCCUUUUCUAAAUUUCUUGGAAUCAGUAUUAGUAUACAGUGCAUUAAUAUAAGGCCAGAUGCUUAGCGGUGAGGGACACAGGCCCUGAAUUUUCAUUCCACCCCAUUGCUAGCUGAUUGGCUUUGCCCAGGUAGUUAGCCAUUCCAGACCCACGUUUUCUCAGUUGUAAUAUGGGAAAGCUAAUACCUACCUCAGAGGUUUGUUAUGAGAAUAAAAUGAGAUAUUUUAUAUAAAACAGCACACUAUCGGGCACUUAGUGAUUUUUCAGUGAAAUGAGGUGAUUAAUAUUAAUAUUAAUUAUAAUGUUAAUAUUAAAUAUCAGAUAAUUUGAGAUUUAGUGUAAGCAUCAGUUUUAGAGUGGCAGACUCAUCAGUUUUAUUUGUAUUCAUUGAACUGUUUCAACAGUGCUUU
rnacentral:lncRNA from 10 species